AUUUUCCUAACCAGAAAUCAAAGCAAGGGUUGCUAAUAAACGAAUUUUGGAAAAAAUGAUAAUAUUUGUCUGGCCUUUUUCACGUUUACGAGUAGCCUCCCUUGAAGCUAGGUGCUCGUUGCCAGGCAAUUUUAUAGGUGGCGCCACUGUCAACAUGUGGAUGUGAAAACGAAAGUAGAUUAUUUACCGUGGAAUAAUUACAAUUGUUUACUCUUCUACGUGGAAUUUAUAUGGUAAUGGUAUGAAUUGAGAUGAUUUAUUUAGUUACCUUCAGCUGGUCAGUGGUCAACAAGGGAGUAUUAUUGUGUGUCUUGAAACAUGGAAUGCCCCAAAACAACCAGUAUGAUAAGAAGGCCAGAGUAUACAGCUUCCCAAAAUGUUGAAGGACUAAGCUGUUUUUUCUAAGGACUUGUAUACUAUUUAGGUUGAAAUUAGCCAUGGACAAUGAAUUUGGACGUGCAUGCUGGAGCAUCAGAAAUUACAGACUUGGAAUAAAUAUUUGCAUAAUAUACAAGUCACAUUUACUGAAAAGUGACUAAUGUUUGUUAAUAAAGUGCAAUAUCCAUUUUUGUAACAUUUACAUGGGAUAGUUACAGUGUUGAAAGAGACUACCAGUGUUACAUUUCAA
rnacentral:lncRNA from 1 species